GGUACAGACAGACCUUCGUGCAGGAACUGGAACUGCUGAGUUACUUCCGGAGCCGAUCUGUUAUGGAUGACGCAGAAAUGCUGUGGCCCUGACAUCCUGGGGAUUGAGAGAGGAAGUGAUGUCACUGUGGGAACUGCCCUGUGGAGACAAGGACGUCCCUCAUCCUCUGCUCCAGCUCACAGCGACACUGAUCUGGUAAAGCCCCCAUCCUGGCCUGACCCUGCCAUGGGCACCAGGCUUCUCUGCUGGGUGGUCCUGGGUUUCCUAGGGACAGAUCACACAGGUGCUGGAGUCUCCCAGUCUCCCAGGUACAAAGUCACAAAGAGGGGACAGGAUGUAGCUCUCAGGUGUGAUCCAAUUUCAGGUCAUGUAUCCCUUUAUUGGUACCGACAGACCCUGAGGCAGGGCCCAGAGUUUCUGACUUACUUCAAUUAUGAAGCUCAACAAGACAAAUCAGGGCUGCUCAGUGGUCGGUUCUCUGCAGAGAGGCCUGAGGGAUCCGUCUCCACUCUGAAGAUCCAGCGCACAGAGCAGGGGGACACGGCGGUGUAUCUCUGUGCCAGCAGCUUAGCCACAGCGUGGCACAGUUGCCUCCUUCCUGCUCACAAACCUCAUCCUUCUCUCUCCUUGCAGCUCCUAGAGACCCUUAACAGGGGCCUCUCUUUACUCCUCACUUUUCAUGGGAAAAAGGCAGAUGUGGACCUCGCUGUCCUUUGGGUAGGAAGAGACCACAGAUUCAUUCCUGAAACACAGUGA